UUUCCGUAGGUGAACCUGCGGAAGGAUCAUUAUUGUAUAACCGAGGUGCGAGGGCUGUCGCUGACCCGAAAGGUCGUGCACGCCCGAGUGCCCUCACACACAUCCAUCUCACCCCUAUGUGCACCACCGCGUGGGUCCCCCUUUGGCUUGUUCGGAGGGGGGCUUACGUUUUCACACAAACUUUGUAUGCAGUGUAGAAUGUAUUUUUUGUUUUCGCGAUCAUGCAAUCAAUACAACUUUCAACAACGGAUCUCUUGGCUCUCGCAUCGAUGAAAACGCAGC
rnacentral:misc_RNA from 1 species